UGAGGAAUAUUGGUCAAUGGGCGGAAGCCUGAACCAGCCAUGCCGCGUGCAGGAAGACGGCCCUACGGGUUGUAAACUGCUUUUCCGGGGGAAGAAUAAGGGCGAUGCGUCGUCCGAUGCCGGUACCCCGGGAAUAAGGAUCGGCUAACUCCGUGCCAGCAGCCGCGGUAAUACGGAGGAUCCGAGCGUUAUCCGGAUUUACUGGGUUUAAAGGGUGCGUAGGCGGGCUCUUAAGUCAGCGGUGAAAGUCUGCGGCUCAACCGUAGGAUUGCCGUUGAUACUGGGAGCCUUGGAUUCGGUCGAGGCGGGCGGAAUGCGACAUGUAGCGGUGAAAUGCUUAGAUAUGUCGCAGAACGCCGAUUGCGAAGGCAGCUCGCCGGGCCGACAUCGACGCUGAGGCACGAAAGCGUGGGGAUCAAACAGG
rnacentral:rRNA from 1 species